AAGUCCCGCAACGAGCGCAACCCUCGACCUUAGUUGCCAGCAUUCAGUUGGGCACUCUAAGGUGACUGCCGGCUAAAAGUCGGAGGAAGGUGGGGAUGACGUCAAAUCAUCAUGCCCCUUAUGACCUGGGCUACACACGUGCUACAAUGGGCGGUACAAAGGGUCGCGAACCCGCGAGGGGGAGCCAAUCCCAAAAAAGCCGCUCUCAGUUCGGAUUGCAGGCUGCAACUCGCCUGCAUGAAGCCGGAAUCGCUAGUAAUCGCGGAUCAGCAUGCCGCGGUGAAUACGUUCCCGGGCCUU
rnacentral:rRNA from 1 species